GGGAAUAUUGGACAAUGGGCGCAAGCCUGAUCCAGCAAUGCCGCGUGGAUGAAGAAGGUUUUCGGAUUGUAAAGUCCUUUCGGCGGGGACGAUGAUGACGGUACCCGCAGAAGAAGCCCCGGCUAACUUCGUGCCAGCAGCCGCGGGAAUACGAAGGGGGCUAGCGUUGCUCGGAAUGACUGGGCGUAAAGGGCGCGUAGGCGGACAGCUUUGGCGGACGUGAAAUUCCAGGGCUUAACCUUGGGGCUGCGUUCGAGACGGGUUGUCUUGAGUAUGGAAGAGGGUCGUGGAAUUCCCAGUGUAGAGGUGAAAUUCGUAGAUAUUGGGAAGAACACCGGUGGCGAAGGCGGCGACCUGGUCCAAGACUGACGCUGAGGCGCGAAAGCGUGGGGAGCAAACA
rnacentral:rRNA from 1 species